CCUACGGGUGGCAGCAGUGAGGAAUAUUGGUCAAUGGGCUUACGCCUGAACCAGCCAAGUCGCGUGAGGGAAGACUGCCCUAUGGGUUGUAAACCUCUUUUGUCAGGGAGCAAUUGGCGCUACGUGUAGCGUUAUCGAGAGUACCUGAAGAAAAAGCAUCGGCUAACUCCGUGCCAGCAGCCGCGGUAAUACGGAGGGGGCAAGCGUUAUCCGGAUUUACUGGGUGUAAAGGGAGCGUAGACGGCGUCGCAAGUCUGAAGUGAAAGCCCGUGGCUCAACCGCGGAACCGCUUUGGAAACUGCGUGGCUGGAGUGCUGGAGAGGUAAGCGGAAGUCCUGGUGUAGCGGUGAAAUGCGUAGAUAUCAGGAGGAACACCGGUGGCGAAGGCGGCUUACUGGACAGUGACUGACGUUGAGGCUCGAAAGCGUGGGGAGCGAACAGGAUUAGAUACCCCUGUAGUC
rnacentral:rRNA from 1 species